UACGAAGGGUGCAAGCGUUACUCGGAAUUACUGGGCGUAAAGCGUGCGUAGGUGGUGAGUUAAGUCUGAUGUGAAAUCCCCGGGCUCAACCUGGGAAUGGCAUUGGAUACUGGCUCGCUAGAGUGCGGUAGAGGGUGGUGGAAUUCCCGGUGUAGCAGUGAAAUGCGUAGAGAUCGGGAGGAACACCAGUGGCGAAGGCGACUUCCUGGCCUGUUCUUGACGCUGAGGCGCGAAAGCUAGGGUAGCAAACGGG
rnacentral:rRNA from 1 species